CCAGGGUGUAGAGAGGCAGCUCCUAUGGACUUCAGUGGACUCACAUGUUGAAGAAGUUGCCGUGGCUAGCGAAGAUCGUCCGAGAGUUAACGUGAAACUGCAGGAGGGGCCCAAAGAUGACCACUGCUGCCAACCAAGCAUGGUAGAGGCGCCACAGGGGAGACAGGGUCUUACUAUGUAGCCCUGGCUGUCCUGGAACUUCCUCUGUAGACAAGGUUGGCCUCUGAGAUCUACCAGCCUCUACCUCCCAAGUGCUGCAAUUAAAGAUGGAAUGCCAGAGAAACAUGCCUGCCCCUCUUAAGGCCUGUCCUCACAAAAUCCUUACCAACCACUUUGCCAGUAGAGCAGCCACUGUAGAUGAACUGCUGGCCGGUGCUGUGGGCUGGGGAGAAUCGGCAUCGGAUCAGAGUGUGAAGCACUCCAUGGCCUCUGUAGGUCAUCAAGGAGCUGUCACCUGGGAGCUUCAACUUCUUCCAGGCUGGGCAAGGAUACAUGAUGUUGGAGGUG
ensembl:antisense Gm15932 predicted gene 15932